rnacentral:rRNA from 1 species
AGCGAACGCUGGCGGCAGGCCUAACACAUGCAAGUCGAGCGGCCGUAGCAAUACGGCAGCGGCAGACGGGAGAGUAACACGUGGGAACGCGCCCUUCGGUUCGGGAUAACUCAGGGAAACUUGGGCUAAUACCGGAUACGCCCUUACGGGGAAAGAUUUAUUGCCGAAGGAACGGCCCGCGUCCGAUUAGCUUGUUGGUGAGGUAACGGCUCACCAAGGCGACGAUCGGUAGCUGGUCUGAGAGGAUGACCAGCCUCACUGGGACUGAGACACGGCCCAGACUCCUACGGGAGGCAGCAGUGGGGAAUAUUGGACAAUGGGCGCAAGCCUGGUCCAGCCAUGCCGCGUGGGUGAUGAAGGCCCUAGGGUUGUAAAGCCCUUUCAGCGGGGAAGAUAAUGACGGUACCCGCAGAAGAAGCCCCGGCUAACUUCGUGCCAGCCGCCGCAGUAAGAC